CACGUAGGGCGCAAGCGUUGUCCGGAAUUAUUGGGCGUAAAGAGCUCGUAGGCGGUCUGUUGCGUCCGCUGUGAAAACUCGGGGCUUAACCCCGAGCCUGCAGUGGAUACGGGCAGACUAGAGGUAGGUAGGGGAGAAUGGAAUUCCCGGUGUAGCGGUGAAAUGCGCAGAUAUCGGGAGGAACACCGGUGGCGAAGGCGGUUGCCUGGAGCUUUGCUGACGCUGAGGCGCGAAAGCGUGGGGAGCGAUCCGG
rnacentral:rRNA from 1 species